CGGGUCGUAAAACUCUUUUGCCUGUGAACAAGAAAGAUACGUGAAUAACGUGACGAUUUGAGAGUAGCAGGAGAAAAAGCACCGGCUAACUACGUGC
rnacentral:rRNA from 1 species